rnacentral:rRNA from 1 species
GGGCCCGCACAAGUAGUGGAGCAUGUGGUUUAAUUCGAAGAUACGCGCAGAACCUUACCAACACUUGACAUGUUCGUCGCGACUUUAAGAGAUUAAAGUUUUCGGUUCGGCCGGACGAAACACAGGUGCUGCAUGGCUGUCGUCAGCUCGUGUCGUGAGAUGUUGGUUAAGUCCCGCAACGAGCGCAACCCUCACUUUUAGUUGCCAUCAUUAAGUUGGGCACUCUGAAAGAACUGCCAGUGAUAAGCUGGAGGAAGGUGGGGAUGACGUCAAGUCCUCAUGGCCCUUACGUGUUGGGCUACACACGUGCUACAAUGGUAUCUACAACAGGAAGCGAGACUGCGAAGUUAAGGCA